GUGAAGGAAAAAUCGAUUUUUUUCUUGUACGAUCUUCCAGAUCUAAUGAGAUCUGAGACGAAAUAUUUCAAAAAAAAAAUUAUCCUACGAUAUUUUAGAUCUAAGAUCUAUUAGAUCUAAUUCCUAUUAUCUGAUAUUAAAUCUAAAAUUAAAUCUGAAAACAUGAGGAAUAAAGAAAUACCUCUAGGGUAACUAGAUUACCCUAUAGAUGAUCGCAGCAAUGUCC
rnacentral:lncRNA from 1 species